UUGGCGUUAGGGUUAAAAUCACUGUCCAAAACCUUUGUAGGAACUCUUUUCCAACCUUUUGGAGUUAGUUACACCAAAAAAAAUAUUGUAAAAUGAAAAAGAAAUAUUUGGGGUUUUCGGGCUUUCUGAAGGUAAUACCCUGGUAUAAGGUUAUGGGACUAAUGUAAGGUUUAAGGUUUUUGGCGUUAGGGUUAAAAUCACUGUCAAAACCUUUGUAGGAACUCUUUUCC